UGUGGUGCCAUGGAAGUGAAAGCACUUUGUGCUAAGUGAGUCUUAAAAAACUAAAUGCCAGAGCAGCCAACUCUUAUUUUUCCAUCCUGCUAAUUUUCAUCCUAGUAAAAAAAUUGGACUGAAUAUAGCCUUGGUUUAUUUUUUUAAAAGCAGAUGGUAAGAUGCUAAACACUAUUUGUGGAAACAGCAAGUCAAAACAUCUUCCCGUGGCUGCAAUGAGCAGAAGAGCUGCCAUAGGAAGUUUUGGCCGUAGUCUCAUCACCCCUCUCUGACCAGGGUGGAGCAUCAUCUGUGGCUUGAAACUGCUGUCUCAGUUCUCCCUUCUUCUUAAAUCCCGUAAUCCUCUUUUAGAAUACAACACAUGUGAUUUCUUUCUCUUCCACCCCCACCUCUUCUUACCAGGUAUUUUCCCACUGUAUCUCUGGCUGAACACCUCCCCAGACUCUUCCUGGACCUUCAAUCUUUCUCCAGCAAUUGCAUGGUGGCAAGGAAACGUGGCUUGGGAUCAGGAUCGUGUGGUUGGUGAAACUCUAACAUGUGUGAUACCUGCCUGUCCUCAGCCUGGGGUCAGACAUCUACAUCCCGUUCU